rnacentral:rRNA from 1 species
UGAAUGGGGCAACCCAUCCUGACAGUUUGUUAUUGUUGCGCGAGCAAUCAAUAAUGGGCUGAAACAGGUAUUUAUGACCUGAAUACAUAGGGUUAUAAAAGCAAACCUGGGGAACUGAAACAUCUAAGUACCCAGAGGAAAGGAAAUCAACAGAUACUCCCCUAGUAGCGGCGAGCGAACGGGGACCAGCCGAGCGAUGAGAGUGACAAGAAGGACCUGGAAAGGUCUGCCAUAGUGGGUGACAGCCCCGUAUUGGAAGCUCAAUUCGACGUAUUAAGUAGGGCGGAACGGGAAAAAUUCUGUCUGAAGAUCCGGAGG